AGCCGUGUGAUGAGCUCAAAGCAAACUAUUCUUUCGCCUUUUACUAAAGAAUACCAUGGACUCGUCACCGUUAACGGCAUAUGCCAAUUUUUCAGUAAUAGUAAGCACUUUUAUUU
rfam:Medicago truncatula strain A17 chromosome 5, whole genome shotgun sequence.